GGAAUCUUGGACAAUGGGGGCAACCCUGAUCCAGCGACGCCGCGUGGGUGAUGAAGGCCUUCGGGUUGUAAAGCCCUUUCGACGGGGACGAUGAUGACGGUACCCGGCGAAGAAGCACCGGCUAACUCCGUGCCAGCAGCCGCGGUAAGACGGAGGGUGCUAGCGUUGUUCGGAAUUACUGGGCGUAAAGCGCACGUAGGCGGCUUUUUAAGUCAGGGGUGAAAUCCCGGGGCUCAACCCCGGAACUGCCCUUGAAACUGGGAAGCUAGAAUCUUGGAGAGGCGAGUGGAAUUCCGAGUGUAGAGGUGAAAUUCGUAGAUAUUCGGAAGAACACCAGUGGCGAAGGCGACUCGCUGGACAAGUAUUGACGCUGAGGUGCGAAAGCGUGGGGAGC
rnacentral:rRNA from 1 species